rnacentral:rRNA from 1 species
AGCGAACGCUGGCGGCAGGCUUAACACAUGCAAGUCGAGCGGGCGUAGCAAUACGUCAGCGGCAGACGGGUGAGUAACGCGUGGGAACGUACCUUUUGGUUCGGAACAACUGAGGGAAACUUCAGCUGAUACCGGAUAAGCCCUUACGGGGAAAGAUUUAUCGCCGAAAGAUCGGCCCGCGUCUGAUUAGCUUGUUGGUGAGGUAACGGCUCACCAAGGCGACGAUCAGUAGCUGGUCUGAGAGGAUGAUCAGCCACAUUGGGACUGAGACACGGCCCAAACUCCUACGGGAGGCAGCAGUGGGGAAUAUUGGACAAUGGGCGCAAGCCUGAUCCAGCCAUGCCGCGUGAGUGAUGAAGGCCCUAGGGUUGUAAAGCUCUUUUAACGGGGAAGAUAAUGACGGUACCCGUAGAAUAAGCCCCGGCUAACUUCGUGCCAGCCGCCGCAGUAACAC